UACGUAGGGGGCGAGCGUUGUCCGGAUUUAUUGGGCGUAAAGAGCGUGUAGGCGGCCAGGUAGGUCUGCUGUGAAAACUCGAGGCUCAACCUCGAGACGUCGGCGGAAACCAUCUGGCUAGAGUCCGGAAGAGGAGAGUGGAAUUCCUGGUGUAGCGGUGAAAUGCGCAGAUAUGUGGAGGAACACCAGUGGCGAAGGCGGCAUCCUGGACCGACACUGACACUGAGGAGCGAAAGCCAGGGGAGCAAACGGG
rnacentral:rRNA from 1 species